GACGUAGGGAGCAAGCGUUGUCCGGAGUUACUGGGCGUAAAGCGCACGCAGGCGGUCUCUUACGUUGGCUCUGACAGCUGGCGGCUUCACUGCCAGAGGUGGGUCAAAACGGCGAGACUUGAGGCUCAGAGAGGGACACGGAAUUCCGGGUGGAGCGGUGAAAUGCGUAGAGAUCCGGAAGAACACCAAAGGCGAAGGCAGUGUCCUGGCUGAGCACUGACGCUCAGGUGCGAAAGCUAGGGGAG
rnacentral:rRNA from 1 species